AAUUUUGCUCAAUGGGCGCAAGCCUGAAGCAGCGACGCCGCGUGAAUGAUGAAGUCUUUCGGGAUGUAAAGUUCUGUCGAUGGGGACAAUAAUGAUGGUACCCAUAGAGGAAGCACCGGCAAACUAUGUGCCAGCAGCCGCGGUAAUACAUAGGGUGCAAGCGUUAUCCGGAUUUACUGGGCGUAAAGCGUAUGUAGGCGGCAUUUUAAGUCAAACUUCAAAUCCCGGGGCUCAACCUCGGUUCGGGUUUGAUACUGAAAUGCUAGAGUUUGGGAGAGGAAAGCGGAACUAACAGUGUAGCGGUGAAAUGCGUAGAUAUUGUUAGGAACACCCGUGGCGAAGGCGGCUUUCUGGACCAACACUGACGCUGAGAUACGAAAGCGUGGGGAGCAA
rnacentral:rRNA from 1 species